ensembl:lncRNA
AGAGAUGCCACGUCCCUGCUCCUCUGCAACGAAAAGCAAGCGAGAGCUCACAUCUCGGGCUGCCCCCGGGACGGCAUCCUGAGGGGGCUGCCGCCGCCUCCUCCAUCUGUCCCUUGAGCUCUUAAGGGGGAGCCGGGCGCCCUUGCCCCUCUGUGCCCGCUGCCAGGUGCUCGGGUUGCAGCGAUGCUGGGGUGAGGGGCAGCCUAGCCUCACUGCCCUCGCCCCAGGCAAGGCAGAGCCAGGCACACCACACCUGUCAGGGCUCAAAGGGCAGCCCCACCUACGCUCCCACAGCCACCUGCUGAGCCAGGGGCGGCAGGGAAGGGAGGCUGCCCAAGCCCCUCCCCCAGUCACCCUGGCCUGCUCCGUGCGGACCCCACCCCUCCUGGGUCUCCUGGUCUGGGUGCGAAUACCCUGCCACAGCAGCCUCACCCUCACCCCUGCCCCAGGCUCGGAGUCCGCAGGUCUGUGAUUCUGAGAGGGCCGACAUGUGGGACCUGCUCCCCUGGGGGCGGGACCCACAGCAGGUCGGGGGUGGACCCGAGGCCCUGCCUGCACAGCAGUGACAGCCCAGACUGGAGGCUGAUCUGCAGGGCUAGGAUGAGGGGACACAGGGUGACCGGACCGGCCUGUCUGCCAAGUCCUCUGACGGGUACUUGCAGCUGUGCCCAAGGUGCACAAGGGAAACGUCUGAUGCCCAGGAAGCCAAGGGCCCAAAGAGCGGUGCUGGGGGGAGGGGCGGGCACGGACAGGGCGCCCCUGCCCUCUGAAUGCCUUGCUCAGCAUCCUAGGAGGACAUCAGCCUACAGCAGAGUCAGGCACCUGGGCUGCCAGCCUGGCCAGACCUGAGGUGCCCGCCUGCCACACACACGGGGGAGGGCCUGAAACGGAGAGGAGCCUGGCAGCAGGGCAGAGGCCGCCACCCUCCUGCCCGCCAGUCCCCUCGUGGCUUCCUGCUCUGCCCCGGAAUCCAGAAACCCUUAUGGGCCGUGGUGCCAAGGGCUCCGGGCAGGUGGGGAAGGGGGAGCAGGCCAAGGACAGAGUCCACCUUCCUUCCCAGGGCUGCUCUCCCGAGCUCAGACCCUGUGACGUGGGUCCGGGACCGGGCAGUGGGCCAGGCAAGGUUCCCCCUCCUGCAGGGAAAGCAGAGCUCAGGAGCUCACCUGUCAGCAGGCUGGGGAGGGGGGGCCAAGGGCCCAGGCCCCCUUGGGAACCUCAGGGACCACCUGGCACGGCAGGAGAGCCAGCCAGAAGGGGUAAGGGGCUAUGCUGCCCCCUCCCCCGGGCCCAGGGCAGUGUCCCAUGGGCAGGCAAGGCCAGGGCCUCCCCGUGCCCAGCCUGUGCUCAGCGUGUUCAGCUCCAGAGUUGAACGUGGACCAGAAAGUGCACAUCUGCGGUCCCAGGUGCCCCCCGCCCCGGCCGGCAAGUCCCCACAGACAGGAGGGCCUGCUGGGGCCACUCGGGUGGACCCGGGCCCACGCCUUCUUACUCGGCGCCGCCCGGGGCUCCCUGGAGCUGGGGACAUCUUGCGCUUUAACGACUCCAGGGUGAGAAGGAAGUGGAGGCCACAGUGCAGCGGACGGACGGAUCGUGCUGGCUGAUAGGAAGGGCCAGCGCCAGGGUGCGGGGUGGGCAGGGCGCUGCCCUGACUGGAACAGCAGCUGCCAGGCCUGAGCCCCUGGGUCCCAGCAGGGCCCCCUUGGGAGCUGCCUCCUGGGAGCUACGUGCACCCCUGCGGGCAGCAGGAAGACAGCUGGGUGCCAGCGCGCAGGUGUCUCCCCACAGGUAUCCCCAGGGGGCGGGGCCGUGCCAUGUCCACAGUGUCACUCCACCUGCCCCCCCAUCAGCUGCCAAAAGACAGCGACAGCUUCAGAGGAGAAACACGACGCCCGGCCUCAGAAAGCUAGUCUCGCGUCAGGGACGGACACUGAGCCUGGAACUGAUGAGGUAAAUAACGAGCAGCCGGCAGGUCAGGGAGCAGAGGUGGAAGUGGUCACGAGUUUAUUAUUUACACGGAGGGUGGACACGGGUACAGUGAUCCAACAGAAGCGCAGCGCAGGGACCGGCCGCCGGCACACAGGCGAUGCAGACGUUGCAGCCCCCGCGCGGGGCGAGGGCCGCAGCUGCCAAUGCCUCCCCGGGAAGGCAGGCGCCCUCUGCGCAAGGCACUGGGAGCUCGCGCUGACCCUCCUGGGUCUCAGCCCACGCGGCCGAGUGCCCGCGCCCCAACACACGGAGCAGCCGGCUCGGGGUUCGGAAAGACGCAAACGGCUGUGCUCCGGGCCGGCCACUCGGCAGUCAGGGUGUCCCAGGACACGGACGCCUUUCAGGCCCCUGGCUGCCCAGGCCCCCACCCCCAUCCAGACCCUCGGGUGGUCAGGCUGGGUGGUCAGGCUGUCAAGAGUCCCCUGCUUCGCGGCACUUCAGAGCCGAUCCCCCUGGGUGCGCCGGCCUGCCUGGGCCUGGGCAAAGCUGGCAUCCGGGGCGGACGCCACAGCCCUUGGCCGUUCAUCCGGAUGCUAACACGGACGGAAGACCGGUCUGCGCUAUUAACGCCGACAGUCUGUUUAGAGAACCUCCCAGACGCGAAGGCGCGGAGGCACCCGCCACUGAAACAAGCACCCCGCCCCCAGGAGGGCCCCACGUCUCCAGGCUCAGCUUCCUCCUCGCCGUGGCUGCUCAAUCGGGAGGCACCUGCUGCGCCCGCGCUGUCGCCGGCACUGUCCAAUCGCUCUGACGACUCGAGUGCCCAGCGGGUCCACUGCUCCCAAGCGGCCCGCACAAGACAGCACGAGACACAGACCGGGAGGCCCCGUGGGCUCCUCCGCGCCCGGCCUGCCCUCCCAGACUCCACGCCAGCGUCUGCUUCGGAUUUCUUUACAGACAGCAAAACAGACAGGAAAGAAACAAUAAAAAGACAGGUUUCU